GACGAACCGUGCGAACGUUGUUCGGAAUCACUGGGCUUAAAGGGCGCGUAGGCGGGCUCACAAGUCAGGGGUGAAAUCCCACGGCUCAACCGUGGAAGUGCCUUUGAUACUGUGGGUCUUGAGGGAGGUAGGGGCGUGCGGAACUUCCGGUGGAGCGGUGAAAUGCGUAGAUAUCGGAAGGAACACCGGUGGCGAAAGCGACUUCCUGGACCAGUACCGACGUUCAGGCACGAAAGCGUGGGGAGCAAACAGG
rnacentral:rRNA from 1 species